rnacentral:rRNA from 1 species
UACAGAGGGGGCAAGCGUUAUUCGGAAUUAUUGGGCGUAAAGGGCGCGUAGGCGGCCUGACAAGUGGAAGGUGAAAUCCCUCGGCUUAACCGAGGAACUGCCCUCCAAACUGUUUGGCUUGAGUCCGGGAGAGGUGAGUGGAAUUCCCAGUGUAGCGGUGAAAUGCGUAGAUAUCGAGAGGAACACCUGCGGCGAAGGCGGGUUGCUGGGCUGACACUGACGCUGAUGCGCGAAAGCCAGGGGAGCGAACGGG